rnacentral:misc_RNA from 1 species
UGGUUCCGGCAUCGAUGAAGAACGCAGCGAAAUGCGAUACGUAGUGUGAAUUGCAGAAUCAGUGAAUCAUCGAGUCUUUGAACGCACAUUGCGCCCUUUGGUAUUCCGAAGGGCACGCCUGUUCGAGCGUCAUUUCAAUUUCAAGCUUGCUUGGUAUUGGCCCAACAUUGUUGGGCUCAAAGUCGUCGGCGACAGUUCCCUAGCGUGAUACUCUAUGGAAAUUGUCUGCUCAUCUUCUUCUCAGGUUGACCUCGGAUCAGGCGGGGAUACCCGCUGA